AUAGGACUCUGUCACUGAUUCGUGACAGAUUUUACUGGCCUGGGAUGGACAAAGAUGUGGAGGAUUGGAUACAACAGUGUGGCAGAUGCAUAAAGAGAAAAACACCAGCCCGUCAGAGAGCACCUUUGGUCAGCAUUGAAACUCAGUUUCCACUUCAACUUGUCUGUUUGGAUUUUCUCACACUGGAGCAGUCAAAAGGAGGUCACCAGAACAUACUGGUUAUUACCGACCAUUUCACCAGAUAUGCUCAAGCAAUAACAACCAGAAAUCAAACAGCAAAGACCACAGCACAGGCACUCUUUGAUAACUUUAUUCUACAUUACGGAAUACCACAGAGGAUCCAUUCUGAUCAGGGAG
rnacentral:lncRNA from 1 species